UAGGGGAAUCUUCCACAAUGGACGCAAGUCUGAUGGAGCAACGCCGCGUGAGUGAAGAAGGUUUUCGGACCGUAAAGCUCUGUUGUUGGUGAAGAAGGAUAGAGGUAGUAACUGGCCUUUAUUUGACGGUAAUCAACCAGAAAGUCACGGCUAACUACGUGCCAGCAGCCGCGGUAAUACGUAGGUGGCAAGCGUUGUCCGGAUUUAUUGGGCGUAAAGCGGGCGCAGGCGGAAGAAUAAGUCUGAUGUGAAGGCCCUCGGCUUAACCGAGGAAUUGCAUCGGAAACUGUUUUCUUGAGUGCAGAAGAGGAGAGUAGAACUCCAUGUGUAGCGGUGGAAUGCGUAGAUAUAUGGAAGAAUACCAGUGGCGAAGGCGGCUCUCUGGUCUGCAACUGACGCUGAGGC
rnacentral:rRNA from 1 species